CGCUGGCGGCGUGCUUAACACAUGCAAGUCGAACGAUGAAGCUGGAACUUGUUCUGGUGGAUUAGUGGCGAACGGGUGAGUAACACGUGAGCAACCUGCCCAAGACUUUCGGGAUAAGCCUGGGAAACUGGGUCUAAUACUGGAUAUGACCUUUCAUCGCAUGGUGUUUGGUGGAAAGAUUUUUUGGUUUUGGAUGGGCUCGCGGCCUAUCAGCUUGUUGGUGAGGUAAUGGCUUACCAAGGCUUCGACGGGUAACCGGCCUGAGAGGGUGACCGGUCACACUGGGACUGAGACACGGCCCAGACUCCUACGGGAGGCAGCAGUGGGGAAUAUUGCACAAUGGGCGAAAGCCUGAUGCAGCGACGCCGCGUGAGGGAUGACGGCCUUCGGGUUGUAAACCUCUUUCAGUCAGGAACAAGCCUUCGGGUGAGGGUACUGGCAGAAGAAGCACCGGCUAACUACGUGCCAGCAGCCGCGGUAAUACGUAGGGUGCGAGCGUUAUCCGGAAUUAUUGGGCGUAAAGAGCUUGUAGGCGGUUUGUCGCGUCUGCUGUGAAAGCCCGGGGCUUAACUCCGGGUCUGCAGUGGGUACGGGCAGGCUAGAGUGAUGUAGGGGUAACUGGAAUUCCUGGUGUAGCGGUGGAAUGCGCAGAUAUCAGGAAGAACACC
rnacentral:rRNA from 1 species